rnacentral:lncRNA from 1 species
UUGAGGCACCUCUGAUACCUCUACCUUUCCUCCAUUCCACUAUCCACGAAGACCUAAGGUGAAAACUCAAAAACAAUUACUCGUCCUAAGUCCCAAAGGCCUGAUCACUGUCUCGGAACGCUUUUUCUGGGGAGUUUCACUCCCUCGGUGGGAGCAACCUUGCUGUUCCUCUUACCGCCACGGUCUUCCGGGCACCCUUCUGGCGUAAACCUCUGAAGCCACAACUGUAAGGUGAAGGGAAGGGAUUUGGACUCUGAAAAGGGAAUGUUGGCACUUUUUAAACUGAAGUACUUUAGGAAACUGCGCUGUACAAACAACUCAAAGCCCUUCUCCGAACUUCUGUGGGUACAGUCAGGGUCACGGAAACAGGAAUGGGAAAUCACAGUCGCAGCCUUCCUGAGUGCAAACGUAGUGCUUGCGUGCCUCACCAAUAACCCUCUGAGAGAUUUCAGACAGAAUCUGACCCCAGGCA